rnacentral:rRNA from 1 species
GAUGAACGCUGGCGGCGUGCCUAAUACAUGCAAGUCGAGCGAACAGACGAGGAGCUUGCUCCUCUGACGUUAGCGGCGGACGGGUGAGUAACACGUGGAUAACCUACCUAUAAGACUGGGAUAACUUCGGGAAACCGGAGCUAAUACCGGAUAAUAUAUUGAACCGCAUGGUUCAAUAGUGAAAGACGGUUUUGCUGUCACUUAUAGAUGGAUCCGCGCCGCAUUAGCUAGUUGGUAAGGUAACGGCUUACCAAGGCAACGAUGCGUAGCCGACCUGAGAGGGUGAGGGGGGAGACAGGAAAGGAGACACGGGAAGGAAUGAAAGGGGAGGGAGAGGUGGGGAAGUGUGGAAAAUGUGAGAGAGAAGAAUAGAUAAAUGUUGAGUGGGGAAGAAAGGUAUGAGGGUAGGUAAGACAUGUUAUGGGGGAAGAAAAGAGAUGGACAUAAAAGUGCACGGCGUGACGGUAGCUAAACAGAAAGAAAGGGACAAGUAGAGG